rnacentral:rRNA from 1 species
AGAUUGAACGCUGGCGGCAUGCCUUACACAUGCAAGUCGAACGGCAGCACGGGGGCAACCCUGGUGGCGAGUGGCGAACGGGUGAGUAACAUAUCGGAACGUGCCCUGGAGUGGGGGAUAACUAGUCGAAAGAUUAGCUAAUACCGCAUACGAUCUACGGAUGAAAGUGGGGGAUCGCAAGACCUCAUGCUCGUGGAGCGGCCGAUAUCUGAUUAGCUAGUUGGUGGGUAAAGGCCUACCAAGGCAUCGAUCAGUAGCUGGUCUGAGAGGACGACCAGCCACACUGGGACUGAGACACGGCCCAGACUCCUACGGGAGGCAGCAGUGGGGAAUUUGGACAAUGGGCGCAAGCCUGAUCCAGCAAUGCCGCGUGAGUGAAGAAGGCCUUCGGUUGUAAAGCGUACUUUUUGUCAGGGAAGAAACGGUGGAGGUUAAUACCUUCUGCUAAUGACGGUACCUGAAGAAUAAGCACCGGCUAACUACGUGA